GGAAGUCUGUGCUUUGCCACAUGCAGUGGGGGGCCAGGCUUCCGGAGGAAAGAAAAGUGAAAGUAUUUGGAGCUGAUCGUGCAGGAAGCUGGAGGCAGUGCCUGCCGCCUCCCUCCAUCUCCGUCCGGACACUUCAGGUGUGCUGGCCGACUCUUGUUCAUCCUGUCCGAUCACCAUGAUGUCACCAACGUAACUGAUAAGUGUGAUGUUCUAUGGGAUAUCCGGGUGACCCAGAUGUCUUUGGACUAUCUUAUGACAAGGGGCAGGAAGACGACAGCCACGCUGACCCCUUGAGCCACCGUUGUCAGUGAGCAGCGGAGAGGCCACUUAUUGCGGCCCCCGCCACGGAAAGGAAGGCGCACCGACAUUGAUUUCACUGGACCCCCACCAUCGCCGGGCCCAGCAGUACCGGCCACUACUGCACUGGACUCCAGGGGGAACAGAAAAGACCUGUCCCAGGACAUUGGAACAUGAUUUAUGACAACUUCCAUUAUGAAGCCAUUGAUGAAGAAGAGACAAAGGAGAUGCUCCACUUCCAAGUACACCAUAAGCUAGCUGGAAUCCCAGAGCAGCUCAGUGAUGGACAACAGAUGAACAUAAUGGAAGGAGAUUCAUCUCAUGACCCAAACGACACCAUAAGAACUGAGGAAAUGGAAAAUAAAUGUGCCCAAGAAUUUGAACAAACAGAGUUCUGUGAACAUUCACUUCUCCGAAUGAAUAAUUUCAGUGUGCCAGAAGAGAGACUCAACUUACUGUCAUACGUGGGACAAGUUUCCUAUGAGCAUGGCACUCUCCAGUGGACAAAUGGUGGCCAUUUUGAAGAGAUUCCCAAACUGCUACCAGGUGAUGGGGGAGCGUCCUGUGAACUUGUGGCUCUACAAAGGGAUGAAGGAGGAGAAUCAGAAGAAAUGCCCAGAUUACUACCUUAUGAUGAAGAAGUGGCCUAUGAUUCUAGAGCUCUGCAAAUGACUAAUGAAAGAAAACCAGAGGAGAUGCCCAGCCUACCUGGAGAAGAGGGAGAAGAGCAUGGCCAUGCCAUCUGGGACAUCAGUGAUGAAGAAGAGCCUCAGGAAGUCUUGAGCUCCCCAUCAACAUGUGGGCCAGGGUCCUGUGAUUCUGAAUCUCCUCAAAUGACCAGUGAAGAAGCACCAGAGAAGGUGCCCAGCCAAGUACUAUAUGAUGGGGAAGACAGUAGCAGUGACUGUUUAGAGAUGUAUUAUGAAGAAGACCCCCAGGAAGACUGGAGCUCACCACCAGAAAGCGAAUCAUCAUAUGGUGAACUAGAAGCUGUCCAAAUAAAUAGUGAGGAAGAAUUAGAAGAGCUUACUUCCAGCCUACUACCCUAUGAUGGACAAGGAGCAGAGCCACCAGCACGUGGAAAUGAGAAGUGUACCUGUGUUAUGUGCUUCUCAAAAGAUGUGCCAGAAGGUCCAGAAGCAAGCAUUGCAGACAGCGAAGCAUGUGCCAUGAUAGAUGCUGUGGAUCUUAGAAACAACUCUACUUCGGGAAAACUCAAGAGGAAAAGAAGAAAAAAGAAAGGCCAUUGCUGGACAAGACAUAAAAGGAAAUUUCAGAGAAACUUACCCCAAAAAGAGAGCAGCAACACUCCUGGCCAGUUGGUCUCCAGUGGGAAAAGGGGGAAAAUGCAUCUGCGAGAACCUGCCAAGAUCAAGGGGAAAAAGAGAGGCAGACCUCCUGUUUACUCAACUCAUGGUGACAGAGCCUCACGGAAAAGAGUCCGGCCAAAAGGGUCAAGAAGUCACACAGAUUGUAUGGUGGAUUUUCGCUCUCAAAUACUUCCUGUGACCUGUGGUGAGGUGAAGGGGAUGUUAUAUAAGAAGAAACUGAAACAAGGAGGAUCCUUGGUGAGAUCUAUACAGAGUGAGGAUGGAAAAUGGUUCACCCCCAGGGAGUUUGAAAUCAGAGGAGGCUACGCAAGAUCAAAGAACUGGAAGCUGAGUGUGCGCUGUGGUAGGAGGCCUCUACGAUGGCUGAUGGAGAAAGGAUUUCUACAUAAUCCUCUAAGAAAAUAUUUCAGGAAAAGAAAGAUAAUACCAAAGUCUCACAACAAUACCUUAGUUAACCCUUAUCCGGGAAACUCUGAUGUGUGUGAGAUGUGCCGGGAUGGAGGAAAGCUGUUCUGUUGUGACACCUGUUCAAGAUCUUUUCAUGAGGACUGUCACAUCCCACCAGUGGAAACUGAGAGGAACCCAUGGAGUUGCACCUUCUGCAGGAUGGAGUUUUUGGAAAGGCAGCAAUGUCACGGGGAAUCUGAGGUCCUGGAGAGGCAGAUGCAGCCAGAGGAGCAGUUGGUGAGCUGGGUGCAAAGCCCAAGGCUUCUCCUUCUCCCUGACACCGAGAAGUCCAACAGGUCUAGAGGGAGGGGAAGGGCGCCUGAGGGAGCCUUCUCUUCCAAGCCAUGUCUUGAUCAUGCUGAAAUCAUACCAGAACUGGAUUGCAGAAUAUAUAACUCACCUAUUACAUGUCUGUUUCUGAAAGCCAAACGUGUUUGGGGAAAGUUCCAGAAGACAGUGUUAAGUCAUGCCUUUGCCUGGGCAUGUGAAUGGGCUCAAUGUCUCCACACUGCUGUGAAUUCACAGCCGCCUUCUUUUGCAGAAAUAUUAAAGAGGUGUCUCAAAACCUAAAGGAACCCAUGUGGUUGGACAAAAUCAAGAAGAAGCUAAAUAAACAAGGCUACCCUAGAGUAGAGGAGUUUGUGCAGGACAUGCGCCUCAUCUUUCGGAACCACAGGGCAUCUUACAAGUACAAUGACUUUGGCCUAAUGGGACUUAGACUGGAGGCAGAGUUCGAGAAGAAAUUCAAGGAAGUGUUUUCUAUUGAGGAAGCAAAUGAGAGGAGUUCACUGGUGUAGUGGAGGCUGUUGACACCCUGGAAAAUCUCCUUUUGGGGCAGAACUUUCAUGUCCCAGCUGCUGUGAGGGUUGGCUGCUGAUGACACUCUUCCCCAAAGUACCACCCUCUGCCAAUGCCAACUUCACCUGGAGGUUACACCUCUUGGGCGUGGGGGCCGGCUUCCAGCCCCAAGGUGGAACCAACCUGUAGUGAUCCGUAUCCCUUCACUUCCCACGAGAUCAGGCUGGAGCUAGUCUCCAGCUGGUACCAAUCCAUGCUUGGCUUUUCCUACCAUGCUAUCCUGCUUCGCUCACCCCUCUUCUUCUGAGAAAAUUCUCAUAAUAAAUCACUUACUCAAGAGA